GACGAACGCUGGCGGCGUGCUUAACACAUGCAAGUCGAACGGAAAGGCCCUGCUUUUGUGGGGUGCUCGAGUGGCGAACGGGUGAGUAACACGUGAGUAACCUGCCCUUGACUUUGGGAUAACUUCAGGAAACUGGGGCUAAUACCGGAUAGGAGCUCCUGCUGCAUGGUGGGGGUUGGAAAGUUUCGGCGGUUGGGGAUGGACUCGCGGCUUAUCAGCUUGUUGGUGGGGUAGUGGCUUACCAAGGCUUUGACGGGUAGCCGGCCUGAGAGGGUGACCGGCGACAUUGGGACUGAGAUACGGCCCAGACUCCUACGGGAGGCAGCAGUGGGGAAUAUUGCACAAGGGGCGGAAGCCUGAUGCAGCAACGCCGCGUGCGGGAUGACGGCCUUCGGGUUGUAAACCGCUUUCGCCUGUGACGAAGCGUGAGUGACGGUAAUGGGUAAAGAAGCACCGGCUAACUACGUG
rnacentral:rRNA from 1 species